rnacentral:sRNA from 1 species
CCUGCCUCUCUUCCUUCGCAGGCCUCCUCGCUGGGGAGGCAGAGUCCUCGCGUGGUCUCCUGCCUCGAGCACAGCCUGUGCCCCGGGGAGCCGGGCUUGCAGACAACAGCAGUGGUGUCCAUGGGCUCUGGAGACCAUCAGUUCAACCUCGCAGAGAUCCUGUCACAGAACUACAGUGUUCGGGGGGAGUGCGAGGAGGCCUCGAGGUGCCCAGACAAACCCAAGGAGGAGCUGGAGAAGGACUUCAUCUCCCAGAGCAACGACAUGCCCUUUGAUGAGCUGCUUGCGCUCUAUGGCUACGAGGCGUCAGACCCCAUUUCAGACCGGGAGAGUGAGGGUGGUGACGUGGCCCCGAACCUCCCAGACAUGACCCUGGACAAAGAACAAAUAGCGAAGGAUUUGCUUUCAGGGGAAGAAGAGGAAGAGACACAGUCAUCUGCUGACGACCUCACCCCGUCCGUGACCUCCCACGAGGCCUCCGACCUCUUCCCUAACCGGAGUGGAUGUAGGUGACUCUGUCCCCAUACUCCACCGCAGCCAGGCCCCCUGCCAGGCAGUCGUGAUGCUUGAUGAA